CACGAACCGUACGAACGUUAUUCGGAAUUACUGGGCUUAAAGGGUUUGUAGGCGGCCUUAUAAGUCAGGUGUGAAAGCCCUCGGCUCAACCGAGGAAUAGCGCUUGAUACUGUAAGGCUUGAGGGAGACAGGGGUAAGCGGAACUGAUGGUGGAGCGGUGAAAUGCGUUGAUAUCAUCAGGAACACCGGUGGCGAAAGCGGCUUACUGGGUCUCUUCUGACGCUGAGGAACGAAAGCUAGGGUAGCGAACGGG
rnacentral:rRNA from 1 species